rnacentral:lncRNA from 1 species
CUAUAUAUAUAUAUAUAUAUAUAUAUAUGUAUGUAUGUAUGUGUGUGUGUGUUUGAUCUUGCAUGAUGUGCGGUACAGUAUAUUCUGGAGACCAGCGUGUAUCCUCGUGAGCACGAGGCCAUGAAGGAGCUCCGCCACAUCACGGCCAAACACCCCUGGUAAGCUCCUCCGGCCUCAAUCCAAUGUGCCUUCGUUCCCUCUUCUGAUAACCUCGCAUCGAGCAGGAAUGGCAUGGCAGUAGCUGCAGAUGAGGCGCAGUUCCUGAACAUGAUGCUGAAGCUGAUGAACGCCAAGAGAACAUUAGAGAUCGGCGUGUUCACCGGCUACUCCCUGCUCGCCACCGCUCUCGCCCUACCUGAGGAUGGCCAGGUACGUGCGUAGAUCACCCACCGCUCGCACAGAAAUCUCUGGGAUGGAGCUAGCUUACACUCUUUUGUAGAUAUUGGCCAUCGAUCCGAAUCGGAAGAACUAUGAACUGGGACUCCCCGUGAUCGAGAAGGCAGGGGUGGCUCACAAGAUCGACUUCCGUGAGAGCCAGGCUCUACCAGUCCUGGAUGAACUGAUGCAGGAGGUAAGAGAAAGAUCGAUGAACUCGGCCAUGUAGGGUACACGGAUUCAUACUCGGUUGGUACAUCGGUGGUGCAGGAGAAGUACAGGGGAUGGUUCGACUUUGUGUUUGUGGAUGCAGACAAGGAGAACUAUAUGAACUACCACAAGAGGGUGGUGGAGCUGGUGAGGGUGGGCGGCGUCAUCGGCUACGACAACACACUGUGGAGCGGCACCGUGGCGGUGGAGCCGGAGUACCCUGUUUUAGAUUAUGUCAUGGAGAUGAAGGACAAGUUCCUGGAGCUGAACCGGCACCUCGCCGCCGACCCGCGCAUCGAGAUCUGCCAGCUCUCCAUCUCCGAUGGCCUCACGCUCUGCCGCCGUAUUAGCUGAUCGCCACCCGCGAGCUCUCGUGUUCGGAUCCCUCGAACGCCGGUGCAGGGGACAAAGACAAAGAAAUAAAGCUGAAACGGAGGGCGACUGAAUUCGAGUGAUCGUUGAGUUCUUCCUUGGAAUUCGACUGAAUUCGUACGCAAAUAAUCUAAUCUCGUCUAUUCCCAAUGAAACAUCAACAAGUUGGAAUGAGAAAAGGGUUGAUGGAUUGGGAUAGUAAGAAUGUUGAUCUUGAAAACGAUUCUCCAUUAAACAAGGAAGACAAAUUCAACAUUUGUGAAGUGUUUUUCGCUCAUUUUUUAAUUUCAAAAACACCGAAACUCUAUUACAUACAAAACACUUUAACCCAAGAAAAUAGAUGAUAAAAAAAUACUUGUAAAUCUUACUCAUAAAAUAUUUAUAUUUCUUUUAUUAGUAGCUAUAAGGAUAUAUUCGAAUUUAGUUAGAAAGGUUGUAAUAAUAUAUAUAUAUAUAUUUGGAGAAAUCAUCCUAAGAUUUUACUCUCAUUUUUAAUGAAUUAUAUGGCAUCUUAGAAAACAUAAACAUAAAAAUAAUUGAUAAAGAAAACAUGUGAAUAUUCGACCUUUUGCCACCACAGUCAAACCGAAGCCAUUGACAGCUACAAAGCUACCAUAUUUUUAUCCACCCAACAAGGAAGACUCUCUCUCUCUCUCCCUCUCUCUCUCUCAAUUCUUGAGCGGCCAAAUGUUUCGGCCAAUACAAAACGCGACAAACCCAAGUCCAUGACUACCGGCCGGCAACGCUGUUCCAUCCAUUUAAAGCCCCUCCCUGUCCUCGUGCGAUGCCUCCGAGGCAGCACUCUCCGAUAGAUCUCUUCACAAACCUCCACACAACCAAAGCAAGAACAUAGUAGAGAAGGAAGCCAAGUAGCAGCAGGAAGAGAGCUCAAGCUUGUCUCGGUGCAGUGUCCAAAGGUAUACACACCUUCAUCAUCACCAUGAAUUGCCAAAGCAUCCGGAUUCUUAGCCAGUUUAUUUAUACAUAGAUUAAGUUUCUCAAAAAUAAGUAUAAAGAGGCCGAUCCAAUUCUCGAUUAUUUGAUCUAUUCGAUGCUUUAAAGGGUUGAUUAUGAUGUACAGAAAGAAGGAAAUUUAGCUUCUUAGGAGGCAACCUUUUUUGUCAGUUCCAACUCCUUAUAGUUUGAGAGACAAAUACAUCUAUUUUCUUGUAUUAUGAAGGACAAACUCGAACACUAGCAGAGAGAGUCUUCUACAAGUCUUGGGAUUAUUUUAAGGAUAAAUUUACAUUUUAUUUGCCCUCUUUUUGGUGAUCCUUCUCUUCAACUUUACAUGCAGAAUAGAAGUGAUCAUUUGAUGGUGGAAUAUACAUCAUGACAACAAAAGGUUACUGACUUGACCUUUCUUCAUGUCAAGCUCCUAAAUCAACAAUUUGUUUAUCAGAUGAACUUAUGUGUGGAAACAGCAGGCAUAUGGAUUCUUAUAGGUUCCUUACUUGGGGUUGUGAUUCUAAUACUAAUCACAUCAUGGCAUUUGCUAAAAGGAAGAAGACAUCAAUCUGAUGAUACCCCUGUGAAAGAUGAGGGUAUGCAUAUAUGCUUCUCCCGUAGCACUUACAUCGGCUAUUUCAUGUCUUCAAACCAUGAAAAUGAUCCUUGUACAUUACAUCAGUAGGCUUUGCAGCUCCCAAGGCAUUAGCAUUCAAAGAUUUUGGCUGUAGAAAGAUGUCAGUCAAGGAGAUCUAUGCUGCCACAAAUAACUUGAGGGCUCUAAAUUUUAUCGGUCAGGGUAUAGCCGGUAAGCAUUCAUACAAUGUUGUGAGUUCAUGCAAUGUUGAUUUCUGAUUGGUUUUCUACUUGCCAGGAAAGGUGUACAAAGGUGUUCUUCCAGAUGGAUGUCAUGUUGCCAUCAAGCAUAUCAAGGAUGGCUAUGCAGAGACAUUUAUGAGAGAGGUCACCAGCCUGUCUCAUAUCAGGCAUCCAAACCUUGUUGCUUUGCAGGGCUAUUGCGAAGAAGAAGACGAGUGCUUCCUCGUGUAUGAGCUGUGCACGAAUGGAAAUCUGUCGGAGUGGCUGUUCGGUAUUGUGUUCUUGAAUAGGCUUUUCUUCUCUUCUUCUUCUUCUUCUUCUUUCUUGAGACGCUGACCAUGAUCGACAAUGUGACAGGAAAGGAUAAAACCUUGUCAUGGACUCAGAGGCUGGAGAUCGCGAUCGGCAGUGCUUGUGGCCUUUGGUUUCUGCACACAUAUCCUGAAGGCUGCAUCGUUCAUCGUGACGUGAAGGUUGGCUGCAUCUUUCUCCUGACUGUUCUUUCCAUGCCACAUUAAUCGACAGAAUUAUCUGACGUCAAACAUGCAGCCGACGAACAUACUCCUUGGUGCCGACUUGGAAGCAAAGCUAUCAGAUUUCGGUCUCUCCAAAGUAGUAGAUGUAGGUGAGUCACACGUGAGCUCGGAGGUGAGAGGAACCUUCGGCUACGUCGACCCAGAAUACCGUCAGAACCACCGAGUCAACGCCGCAGGAGACGUGUACAGCUUCGGCAUCGUCCUCCUGCAACUCCUCUCAGGGAAAAGAGUCGUCAACCUGAACGUAAUGAGAAGGCCGACGUCGUCGAGUAGAAUGGUCAGCUCUACCGUCUCUCCACCCUCCAUAGAUGUAGUACUCUACAGCUGACGAAAAAGCUUCCCACCGCAGCCCAAGAUUCUAACACGAGGUGAAGAGCUAUCCGACUUCGCUGAUCCGCGACUGAGAGGAGAGUACUCCGUCGAAGCUUUUGAGCUCAGCCUCAAGCUGGCUCUCUCCUGCGUCGCGCACAAGCAGCAGCGUCCGUCCAUGGAGCAGGUCGUCGCGAGCUUAGAGACGGCACUGCAAAUCUCCACCACCACCGAGUCAUACAGUCUCAGUAUCUACUGAUUGAUGUCUCGUACUUCUGUGCAUGCUUAAUCCACACUCAUUGUUAUCUGAAUUCAAACACUCAAACGAAGAGCUAUCAGAACCUUAUCCGAGCUGAGCUAAUUGACACAAACAGCUCCAACGAUGAAUCCAAAGAAGAAAGUCAUAUCUAUCUAUCAAACUUCCUCAGUGUUAUCCACUGAUACAUAUUAAUCUAUCCGUGAAUGUUGUUGACCUUGAAACUAGAGGCAUUUAUAGACCCAGUAGUUGCUUCCACGUGAAGCUUCCGAGAAGGGUGGUGGUGGACAUCAAUCGAUGCCUCCGGCGACAAUUAAUCCCUUCUUCUCCUGCCAAUUCAAAGUUGCAGACUGAAUCCGAAAGCACUAUCAGAUUGAUCUAAUCAUCGCUGCCGUCCACUGUAUCUCCGGUCAACACGAUCAUAAACGCGUUAUUCUGGUUCCAUUAUUGCUCUUGUCAUAUUUCGAGAUGCUGCAAUUGUUGGAAGCAACUCAGGAAGAAAGAGGGAAGCGAUCGCGAGGUGGGACGCCGGUCGCUUUGCGUGACAGCGGUGGAUGAGAUUUCAUGGCGUAUGCUUUUGGAUCAUUCACAUGCGUGACCUCAAGUCACGGAUCACAACGCCACGAUGCCACGCUCCGAUUAGGAGAUCCACCGAAGACUCGACGACAGGGAAGCUGAUGCGACGAUGGCGAAGGAUAUUUUAGGUGCAUUAUGUUUCUAUUUCUGUCGAUUCAUACAUGCCCGUUCAUCCGAAACACAAAGUGGUGGGUCCCACGAGGAUCUGCUAGGGGGUCCCACUCGGAUCCACGGGUAUCUGCCGCGGGUCCCGCUUCCCGGCCAAAAGUGAAGAAGAACAUAUUUUUCUCGUUUGAAUCAUUGAAAUCUAUGGUUUUCUACGUUAUUUUUCAACAUAUGAAAUGUGAUAUUUGUUGAUGCAUAUGUGCUGUAACAACAACACAUAUGAGAUGUGAGAGCAAAACGAACGAUCAAAGAUUUGACUUAACAGAUAAAUAGAAUUUAACUCGAUAGAAUCUAACCCACCACGUCAUUGAACUAUGGUUUGAGGAAGCAGCACUCAGCAUUUUGCGUGGAUACGCUUCGGAGAUUCCCAUAGAUAAAUGUGAAGUUAGAUUUCAUGGUAUGUUCCUUCAUCUCCAUGAUAAUAACUCGGUCCCUCUGUCUAAGAUGAGAACCAAAAGCUUCUGUCGAUCCUUCUUCCGCGCGGUGGAGGAACAGCGGAGCCCACCCUGCGUAGUAGACGACAAGGGGCAAGAAAAAAGAAAAGGCUGUAUCGAAGGUUGGACUGGUGAGAGAGGUACGUAUCCCGACUGACUCCCACCAGCAAAUCUACUGCCCGCUACUGCUUCUUGUUGGCCUCGUCAUCUCCAACAUGCACCGAGAGGGACACCGCCAAGUCGCCUUCCACCAUCUUCCUCAUCUCCUCUCUCUCUCUCUCUCUCUCUCUCUCUCUCUCUCUCUCUCUCUCUCUCAUUAUCUACCGUGGAUUCAUCAGUUACAUCAUACAUCCCUCGUGCUCACUCCUUUGAGAGACAGAAAUCUUCGUGACUUAAUUUUCCCAGCUUUCAUUAAUAAUACAUAUAUAUAUAUAUAUAUAACUAUUAAUGUUUUGCAACUUCUUCCACCACAUUCAUCUUCACUAUUUGAAGCUUCACACAUCUUAAUCUUCUCGGAGUAUUAAAAUAUAUAUGAGAUUAGUGAUUGACAAAGCUUAUAAUGAAUUCCAUGCAAUUAACACUUAAUAUUUUACUGACUAUUUUCAGCUUCAGAAAUCUUGAUCUUUCCAGCUUAUAAUAAUAAUAAUUAUAAUAUUUAUAAUUAUUAUUAUAUACAUGAAUUUGGCAUUGAUAUUUUGCAACCUUUCCACGACUGUAUCAUGAACUCCAUGACCGGAGCAUGAAGUGAGAGGGAAGGUGGUGGUGGUGACGAGUAGGGAGAGAGAGAGAGAGGGUGGGGGGCGGUGGGAGGGAGGAGGAGGGAAGCGAGGGAUGACGAGGUGAGAGGACAGGCUUAUCCAGACUUGAUGCCAGCGAGGUGGAGGCCGCGUGGUCGGGCAGCGGCGUGCAGUCGCAGUCACCCUCAAUAAAUCGUCUCAUUUUCCUCUGCAGCAGAGAACAAGGACGCGAGAGAGAGAGAGAGAGAGAGAGAGAGAGAGAGACAGUAGAGAGAAGCGUGUGAUCACAGCUGUCUUGAAUCGUAAAAAGGACUUCCUCGACGUCGUAGAAAAGUCAUGCUGAGGCAUUAGAUUUGGUUGACAAAAAUUGACCUCCGUUUGUCUCAGAUCACGUCAUAUAUAUAUAUAUAUAUAUAUAUAUAUAUAUAUAUAUAUAUAUAUAUAUAUAUAUAUAUAUAUAUAUAUAUAUAUAUAUAUAUAUAUAUNNNNNNNNNNNNNNNNNNNNAUAUAUAUAUAUAUAUAUAUAUAUAUAUAUAUAUAUAUAUAUAUAUAUAUAUAUAUAUAUAUAUAUAUAUAUAUAUAUAUAUAUGUCGAUUGUGACAAAUAAUAACGUAGGCGGAAAUAAACAUCUCUAAAUUUCCAUAUGAACCAAACAUACAAAGAAAACCAAUCCAUUUCAUUUUCAUCUUCAAUCCAAUCCAAUGAUAACUUACAUUAUUUCUAACACAACAAUAGUACCACAUAAAAUUAAUGUAAUAGUAUUCCACAUAAUUCCAAUUGACCCAAUCCAAUUCAAUCCAUCCAAGUAGGGUUGCCCACCCCAUCUUACAUAACAUAGCUGCCCCUGCCAUGGUCACAACUUGAUGUCUUAACAAGACUAAGAAACUCAAUGUAUUUAUGUGUUCUAAAUGGUUUGAUUCUUUUAUUGUCCUCUCCGAUUGAUGCUCAUUUUGUGUCCUUGUAAAUCUUCCAACUCUUUUGUCAACUUAGUUUUUGUACAUGAAUCAUGGAUCCCCUCAUCUUCCAAUUUGUAGCAUUGUUUAUGCUAUUCAUGCUUUUUAAUUCUUGGAUUAACAAAUUAUGGUGGGGAUUUUAUAUGCUUUCCUUAACUUUGAAACUUGUGGUCAAUCUCUCCAAACCACAUAUAUUCUAAUAAAUAUAAGAAAUUGCACACAUUUCUAUCUAAUUUUGUUAAUUGAUCUUUUUGAUAAUUAGAUAUGAUAUGAUAUGAUGCUGAGGCACAAAGACCUCUAUUAUAUAUUUGUUGAGCUUUCUAGAAUAUAUAUUUUUUUUUCUUUCUAUUUUUAUAAUUUAAAUUAUUCGUUAAAUAUUAUUAUUUUUUUUAAAAAAAUAUUUUUAGUAGAGUUUUACAAUUUUUAUUAUAUCAUUUUAUUUUUGUUGCUAAAGUGAUUCAAUUUAAUUCAUUGCAUUAAUUCUUAAUGCAUUGAAUCGGACCAAAAGAUAAAAAAGAUUGUAAAGGGAGGAAGGAAAAAUAAAUGAUGGAUAAUAUAAAUAUUUUAAAAAGUAGGGAUAAACGAAACGUUUCCUAACAAAAAGCCAAAAAAUAUUUUAUAUAUAUAUAUAUAUAUAUAUAUAUAUAUAUAUAUAUAUAAUAUCGAGUACUAUAAAAAUAAGAAAGGCUGCAUUAAUUGCCUUCCAAUUCCAUUUCCUUCCUUUCUUGCCGAACGUUUCCUUCAUCCCACCUCUCUCGCUCUCUCGCCCGCAUCGCCCAACACCGCCACACAAACCCCCCCGCCCCCCCCUCCGUCUCCGAGCGCUCUUCGACCUCACCGACAAGGCUCGCUCAUUUCUCCCCGACCGCCAUCGAUCGCCGCGCUCCGAGGUACGUAGCCACGCACUCCGUCCUUCCCUUGCUCGGCUUCGAUGUCUGCGUCUUUGAGUUACUCGGUGGUCUCUUUCUUGAUGGAUUGUGUUGUCGUUGUCUAGCUGUCGGCCGUGUUCUGGCUUCCUUGAAGUUUCUUGCAGUGUGGAUGUAGUGAAAGAUCUGUGUUUUUGAAGGUUGUGCUCGCGAAGGGGAGGAGUGUGAAGUUCUUUUUGUGGGUCGUUUUCUUUUGGUUUGCAUCUUCUUGAAUCCGCGGAAAGUGUGUGGAUGGAGAUGGGUUCGUCGCAACCAAGAGAAUAAUCCGAGGCGACGAGGAAUUUUGUUUUCUCUUUUUUUUCCUAUAAAAAUCUUUAAUUUGCAUACGUAAUUUGUGAUUGUUUUGGAUUUCUUGCUGUGUCUAUGGAAAGAUGAGGUGGCCCGAAGAGGAUAAGGACGUCAUUACUGAAGUCGACUCUGUUUCCUGUUUCUUUUAGGACCCUUCUCUUUAAAGUACAAUCCACCAUGAACAUAGUUUUCUGUUAGACAAAUCUAAAUUAAAUGUAUGCAUUUAAAUCUCUAUGAAAAUUAUCUUCGUUAGAGGACAAAAUUUCGUUUUCUCUUCUCAACCUGUUAGAAAAGCUGUUACUAAUGACGCAAUGAUCCCAAAAGACAUGUCCUUUCAGGCACGAUCUGUGUCAUUCUAUAUUCUGGUUUUAAUUGAUCAUGAACUUGGAUAUUUAUAAUAAACCACCAAUGCCAUUUGUGAAAUAUAUUAACAAAGAGAAGCUGAUAUGGUGCACUUGGUUAUCUGGUCUUUCACAGCUUCUUCAUCAUCAAGUUGGAGGGUGAUGAACAGAACUGGAGCUUAUGAUAAGUUGUACGCCUUUAGUUUCAUGUGUCAUGAUCUCCUAUGAUUCUAGGGUACUGGAGGAAGUCCAGGCUGAUGAAUGUUUAUAACAGUACACAAGACAGAUUUGUGUCUGUGUUUGAUGGAUGAUUUUACUAUUUUCCUUUGUUUUCUUCUGUUUUGGGAGUUGGGCUUUUGUCAGUAGUAAUUGGCCUGUGCAUCAGAUUUGAGAGCAAUCUGGACCAAUAAUUCUGCAUUUUUCCUUGAACUGAAGGACCUGUUUUUUUUUUUUCUCAUUACAGAGUUAGGUUUGUGCAUAUGAGGAUCGUGAGAAUCUGAUGUUAUGUAAAUUACAGACUGGUUUGAAUUUUGUAAAAUUAUGUAAUUAUCAAAAUUUCUUAUGCUUGAUGUAAUUAUCAAAAUUAUGUACAUAUAUUCUUUUGGAUUGUAAUGAGAUCUAACAAUAAGCAAUUAAAUACGAUUUUUUGCCCAUCAAAGCAAGUUCGAUAUGAUGUUUCAGUUUUGCUUACAAUGAGUUUUCUGAUUUGAAUUUCAUUUUUCUUUCACUUCAUCCUCCAUUCUAGUAAUCUUGAAAUAUAUUUUACUCCAAAGUGUUGAUGUACGUUAAUCUGUUUGUCUGAUAUAUAUAUCUUAAAACUCUGCAUUCUUUCUUGUGUAAAUUUUCAUGGUUCUAGUAAAGAUCUAAUAAUCUGCAAAACAAGUUUUAAUCUGACAAUUGUUUUAUAAACACUUAAGAUCUCUAUUAUGUAGUAGCUUGUACAUGAUAUUAUUAUUGAGUGCAAGUACCUAUCUUGUAGCUGACAAUAAGUUGUCGAGUAUUGUUGGAUUUUCUGGAAUAGCCAUGGCUUCAUCUGAAGGAUAUCUAGCUAAUUCCAUAAAUCUGGAUCAUGUUGAGUCUCGUUUGAUUUGGGAGUGUGCAUUAUUUUCCUUUGUAGCUUUUCUUAAGUUACUAGCUUUUUAUUAUUGUUCUUAUGUGUUAUCAAGUUAUUCUGUCCAUAGUGUCACUGAAGAUACUUGGUGUUUGUUCUAGAGCAGAGGUAAAGUAAUUAUGAUUUUAUUAUGAAAGCAUAAAUGGAAGGCCGAAGAAUACAUCAUAGCUCAAGCAGUUACAAUUAAACUUGAAUAAAAUCACACACAAUAAACAUUCCAUAGUUGAAUAUUGGUUUUUUUUUCUUCUGAGGUACUCCUUGUCAGUGUAUGUUUAUUGUGGUUGUUUCAUGUGAUCAUACAUCUAAUGCAAUCUUCCAUAUCAUCGAUAAAUAUGACCACGGUGACUGGUUUAUGACCCUUAGGUUGUUGAUGAAAACAAUCAUGCAAUAGGUAAGCACUGAGAUCUCUAGGAAUCCAAUGUGAUACUUAAUUCAGUUGUUAAUUAUGGAAGUUUUCAUUCGUGACUUUAAUAAAACAUUUUAGUAGUCAUAAUUUUGCUUCUCUGUAUGUAACGUGACUUAUUUGUGCAUGCACAAUGCUGAAGCUUUUAUUCAAUAAAAUGUUAUGAAGAACAAGGAUCAAUGAGCAUGUAUUGGUUUCAUUGACAUUAUUAUUGAUGCUUAGUAAAUGCAUGGUUAAAUCUCGAUUGGGUACCAAUAUUGGACCGACCAUAUUGGAUGGUGGUACAAUCUGUCUUGUCUGGUAUUGUUGAAAAUAAUUUAAUAAAAAAUAAAUAACAGAAUGUACUAAACUUAGUGUACCAUUACCAGUUGUUUGUUGGAUUGUCUAAUACAGGAUGGUAUAUAUUGGUCCUACUGGUAUUUAAAAAUCAUGAAUAGAGAGUCUAUUUCUCUUUUGGCUGCACGAUUUUAGUAAUUCUGUUUACUGUUCUCUUAUAUGUCCAGUCUGUUUGCUCUUACAGGUUUAGUCUGGGAGCGCAUACAAUCAAACUCUACAAAAAAUUGAGGUAGUAAAUUGUCAAUUGGAACUGGGGGCUUCUUGCGCCAGUCUUAUUGACUAAAGAACCAGAAAACCUCGAGUGAUAUGUUGUCAAAAUCAUGUGCCAAUCUUUUAGAAUUGGGAUCUGACAAUACAAUGGACUUCAGUACUUCUGUUAAAUCACUUCCCAGAGUGAUGACAAGCCCAGGAAUAAUAAAUGACUUAGAUGAAGGAACCAGCACUAAUGAAGAUUCAUGUUCUUCUAAAUUAUCAUCUCAGGAUCGCAAAAUAAUAGUAGCAGACUUUCUUCCGCUAAACUCUAUGAAGGACCAAGCAACUGGACAAUGGUGCUUCACAUGGGAUCAGGACUCACUUCUGCUACAACUGAAAGAUGGAUUUUCUUCUGAUACUGAAGUCAUAUACGUAGGAUGUCUGGAUGCUGAUAUAGAUAUUAGUGAGCAAGAAGAAGUUUCUCAAAAGCUUAUGGAAGAAUACAAAUGCAUGCCAACAUUCCUCUCACCUGAACUCUUUCAGAUGUACUACCAUGGGUUCUGCAAGCAGCAAUUAUGGCCUCUUUUCCAUUAUAUGCUUCCUAUCUGCCUUCAUAAGGGUGAUCUCUUUGACCGAUCUCUUUUUCAAGCCUACAUUUCAGCAAAUAAAAAAUUUGCAGAGAAGGUUAUGGAGGUAAUUAAUUCAGAUGAUGACUAUGUGUGGAUCCAUGAUUAUUAUCUGAUGCUUCUUCCAACAUUCUUAAGAAAACGACUGAAUCAAGUCAAGAUUGGUUUCUUUCUCCACAGCCCAUUUCCCUCAUCAGAAAUAUACCGGACAUUACCGGUCAGAGAGGAAAUACUCAAAUCAUUGCUUAAUGCUGAUUUAAUUGGCUUCCAGACAUAUGAUUAUGCACGUCACUUCUUGUCUUGUUGUAGUAGGAUGUUAGGACUGCAUUAUGAAUCCAAACGUGGUUAUAUUGGACUUGAAUAUUAUGGUCGCACAGUGAGCAUCAAGAUUCUCUCUGUUGGUAUACAUAUGGGCCGGCUUCAAUCAGUACUGAAUCAUCCUGCUACAGCUUCAAAAGUUCAAGAAAUUGAGAAAAAUUUCAAGGGGAAGAAAUUGCUACUUGGUGUGGAUGACAUGGAUUUAUUUAAAGGCAUUAGCUUAAAAUUGCUAGCUUUUGAGCUUUUGUUGGAAAGACAUCCAACUCUAAGAGAAAAAAUUAUCCUUGUGCAGAUUGUAAAUCCCACAAGAAGCAUGGGAAAAGACGUUAAGGAAGCAAUAGAAGACACAUUGUUAAUAGCUGAAAGGAUUAAUAAUUCCUAUGGUACUCCAAGCUAUGAGCCGGUGGUGCUUAUUGACAAGCCUAUACCUUUUCAUGAAAAAAUUGCUUUCUAUGUGGCAGCAGAAUGUUGCAUUGUAAAUGCUGUUAGGGAUGGCAUGAACUUGGUUCCCUAUGAGUACGUAGUUUGCAGGCAGGGAACUGAGGAGAUGGACAAAUCUAGGGGUUUUCAUGUUGGCUCUACACACACAAGCACGCUUAUUGUAUCUGAGUUUGUUGGUUGCUCUCCAUCACUUAGUGGAGCCUUUAGGGUCAAUCCUUGGAGCAUUGAGGAUGUGUCUGAUGCUCUAUAUCGAUCAAUUAAUUCAGGAGAGACGGAGAGACAAAUGCGACAUGAAAAACAUUAUCGUUAUGUCAGCACCCAUGAUGUAGCUCACUGGGCUCGCAGCUUUUCUCAGGAUUUGAAGAGAGCAUGCAAAGACCAUUACAGUUGGAGGUGCUGGACUCUUGGAUUUGGCCUAAAUUUCCGUGUCCUAUACCUUUCACCCAAUUUUAGGAAAUUAAUGUUAAAUCAUCUUUUUUCUUCCUACAAGAAUACUCAUAGAAGGGCUAUAUUUCUGGACUAUGAUGGCACCAUUAUGCCUGAAGCAUCUGUUAACAAGACCCCAAGACAAGAAACAUUAUCUAUCCUGGAUAGCCUGUCCACCGAUCCAAAUAACACGGUGUUCAUUGUCAGUGGAAGAGGCAGGGCAUCUCUUGGUGAGUGGUUUACCUCAUGUGAAAGCCUGGGAAUUGCUGCUGAACAUGGCUAUUUCAUUAGGUACAUCUUAGAUAAGUUCAUGCUUCCAAAAUUUGCAAUUUAUGCUGUUGUCUCAUUUCCUUGAUUUGCUUCUAUUAUUUCCCUUAGGUGGAGAAAGGAUGCUGAGUGGGAGUCCAGUUCGCUUCUUGUUGACUUAGACUGGUUGAAGAUAGCAGAACCAGUUAUGCAGUUAUAUACUGAGACCACAGAUGGUUCAUACAUAGAACUAAAGGAGAGUGCAAUUGUAUGGCAUUAUCAGUAUGCAGAUCACGACUAUGGUUCCUGCCAAGCGACAGAAUUGCUGGAUCAUCUUGAGAGUGUUCUGACCAAUGAACCAGUGGUGGUCAAGAGGGGUCAGCAUAUUGUGGAAGUAAAGCCUCAGGUACAUACUUUUGUUGCGGAAGAUAUGUUCGUCCUAUUUCUUGGGUACUUUCUUAUUGCUCUUCCAGGAAUUAACAAUAUGUUUCUGCGCAGGGAAUUGGUAAGGGGCUGGUUGUGGAGAAUCUUAUUGGGACUCUGAACAAGUGUGGGAAGCCACUAGACUUUGUGUUGUGCAUCGGGGAUGAUCGAUCUGAUGAAGACAUGUUUGAAAGUAUCAACAGUAUAGCUUCAAGUAAUCUAUUUCCUUUUGUCCCCGAAGUCUUUGCAUGUACAGUUGGUCAAAAGCCAAGUAUGGCCAAAUAUUAUGUUGAGGAUACCGAUGAAGUCAUAAGGCUAUUACAAGGAAUUGCUUCAGUUUCAAAUCAAGAGCAUAGGGUUACAUACAAUCAGCUUCCCAUAGAAAGGUCAAGUUGAGGUUGUUUCUCUUUUUACCAGGCUUUUUGUCCAGUUUCUGUUUAGUAGAAUCUGUGCAUUCUGAUGGUCUCUGUUUGCUGACAAGAUUUAGGCCUUCUUCCUUGCCAUCCUCCAGAUUGAAUGACUUUAAAUGCUUCAUGCACCUAAGGCAAUUUUUCUAACCAAUUCACAAAAUAUUAUCGUAUUUAUUGAAGGCUUGGAUGCUGUCGCCAUUGUUUUGUACAGAUUGUGGUGUGUUCUAAAGAUUGAUAUAGCCAUCUGUGUAUAUAGUCAUCUCAAAACUUAAAUGAGAUAUGGUAAUAACUUCCAUUCAUCUCGAUAUGUGUUUAUUUGAUUUUAUUUCUACUGUUGUAGUGAUGUUGCUUUGUUGUGGAUGUUUCGGUUCAACUGGAACUGAAAGGAAGACUUUGGAGUAAGUUCAUUGAAAGAGAGAUGAAAUGGAUUAGCAGAAAGAGAAAAUAUGUAUGUGGAGGUUUUUUGUUCCAUUUUCUAUUCAAAGGGAUUUAAAAGGGCAUUUUUUGUUCCAUUAAGUGACUUCCCUAGCAACAUUGGUUUGAAAUCUUAGAAGGCUUGCCAUCUAUGCUGAUCAUAUGAAACAUAAGGUUGGAAAUAUCUUGAUCGGAGAGAGAUUGAUGGGGAAACAGAUCUCUCUGUGCAGGCACCAAGAGAGAUACUAACAAGAAACCAAAAGUUGACUGUCAUUUUCUUGGACCCCUCUUCAAUCAUAUCCAGAAUCUCAUGAUUUAACAUGGACUAAUUGAUGAACCAAUAAUGCACAAGUGGAUCUAAUUCAGUUAGCUCAUAAUUAAUUCAUGUUCCCCUUGGGAUUAAGAUUUGCAGAGUUGAAAACAAAACAAUGGUGAGGUUGUCGACUGAUCGAUCGAAGAUAUAUGAAGUUGCGCAGUUUAAACGACUAUCGAUCUUCUCAACAACAAGCCAUAAUAUCGCAAACAUGCUUAUGAGAUCGAACGAAAUUUUAUGUCGGAUGAUGAGGACUUAAGCUUACAAAAAGCAAACAAGUGACCUAUCAAGCUUCUAAUUUAAGCUUAACAUUCCUCCAUUGCAAAUCUUAAUCAAGCAAUUCUUUUUCUCAUGGCUGCAUGCUGAAGACAGCCUCACCUGUGCAAGUUCUACAGAUUGAAGUCACAAAAAUGCAGAGCUGCAUCACUCAAGUGUUUCUCAACUCCAUUUGUUGAGAGACAACAUUGUCAGGGAAUAUGCCCCAAGGAUCCAAGGAUGUGAGCCCCAUAGUGACAGGAAUGUUAGCUGUAAUGUUUUAGAUCAUGGCAACUCAGCUCAUGAUGGUGCAAUGACUGUGCCAUAUGCACAUCUCUUUUGUUCAUGUAAUCCUUGUACAUUGGUUUAAGUUGAAUUAAAGUUCCAUACAUAUUUUUAUUUUUGUAUCCAAAUAUAAAUACCCUCAGACCUUUCAUUUUAUCUCCAUACCUUUGGAUCCAUAAAUUUAUUGGAUAUGAAUAUAUAUGAUUUUGCAACUAAUAAUGUGCAUCCAAUAUGGAUCCUCAACCUCAUUCCUCAUGCCUACAACCAACAUCUGAACCACCAAAAAGUCCAAAUUUCUCCAACACCACAUCUGAACCACCAAAAAGUUGGGAGACAAAAAUCACAGAAUUAAUAUGGCAUUUAUUUAUAGCAUUGAUAUCUUUGUUAAGCAAAGGAUGCUGUAAAAACCUGCCUGCUAAGUGUAAUUUUUCUUUCUGCACACAGUGUAGAGGGAAAGAGGAAUCACAUGCAGUUGUAAGAAAGGUAGGAAAAGAAGGUGGAAGAAAGGAAUGUGUCUACAGGGAAACAAGCAGCAAAGAAUGGAGAGAAUAGCACUGAGUGUGAACCCCACACCACAUCACACCCAUCACCUUGAAACCAGUGAACAGUAUGGUGACCUAGAAAAAGAGAGAGAGAGAGAGAGAAAGGUGGAGCUCCAUAUUACUACUAUUCUUUCUCCCCUACAAUUAAGGAUUGAGAGAAUUGUAUUGUGAUCAAAAUGGUGGCUUAGAAUCAACUUUCAUUUUGGCUUUUUUUUCCUGCAAAAAAAUGUGAGGCAAUUGCCACUUGAAGACUGCUGAUUUUGGUGUUCAAAGAAUCUAAGUGUGGCUUAAAAGGCCUCAUUAGAUGCUGAACAGCAAACAGUAAAAGAGGCAGCAUGUGAUGCCUCUUUUACUGCUCUUCACUCUCUUCACACUCACAUAGCUAUUUGUCUCUCUCUCUCUCUCUCUCUUUGCUUUGCUUUACUUUGCCUCACAUAUUAAACUUGAAGAAGAAGAAAGGGAGCAAAAGGUGAAGGGUUUGAUGAGCUUCUUCUUCUUCUUCUUCUUCUUUCUUCUUCUUGAGGAGCCAAACAAGAACUGGCUUUAGCUGAGCUGCUCCCAUUCUGUACUGUGAGGUCCAUCUGCCUUGCUUUCUUGUGUCUUCUCUGGAUCAGUAGACCUUUAACACAGCUGAGGCAUGAUGAACAAGGAGAUGAGAGUGUUGGUAAUGCUCAUUCUUGUACUGAUCUUGCUGGGUGGGUGCAGCUCUGCUUCAGCCUCUUCACCUGCAAGUGGGUGUUCUGCUCUUUCUUGGCCUUUCUAUGCUGCAUCACCAGCUCAUUCUCUUGUUGUUUUGGUCUAGUAGAGAUUGUUGGUGUGGCCGUCUCCAAUGCUGCCUCUAAUGCUGCCUCCUCUCUGCUGAAGAGGUUGUGGUCUCUGAAAUCUACCACAAAGACUGGUAUACUCCAUUCGACCUUGGCUCCUCUUGUUUCCCUCAGCAUGUUGCUGACCUGAUUCCACCCGCAUUUCCUGCAGCCGUCUCCGGCCACCGCCCACUGAUGAAAUUUGAGAGCGGGUACACUGUCGAGACGGUGUUCGACGGAAGUAAGCUCGGGAUCGAGCCCCACUCGGUGGAGGUGACGCAGAGUGGGGAGCUGCUGCUUCUGGAUUCUGUCAACAGUAAUUUGUACCGGAUCUCGUUGCCAUUGUCUAGAUGUGAGCUGAUCUCUUUGCCUGAUUUCUUAUGGGGGCUGAUAGGGUUCCUUAGUGGUCCUUUGCACUUAUAUUGAGCAGCAAUUUUCUUAACGAUCGAAAUUGUUUUGCCAUGAGGAAGAUUUUUUGUGUGUUUCUCUUGAGAUGCUGAGUGAACUGUAAGAUGGUGAAUGCAUCCAACUAUCUGAGGCUGUUCUUUCUGUAUUUGUUAAAAUGCUCAAGUGAAUUGCAUGUUAUUGUGUGUAUCUAAUUUGUUGUUUAGCGCAUUAAAUGACCCAUGCUACUUGAAACUCUGACCUUUUGUUCUAAUUCUAGCUACUCUUGUUCUUAGGUCUGCAUUCUUGUAUGAAUUUUUCGAAUGUGCAUCAGUUUUUUGUUUACAUUGUGUUUAAUUCUUGGAACAUUCUUUGGAAUUGUGUGUCAAAACAAAAGCUACUUUUUUCUUAAAUUUCAUGCUAAUAUUUGUCUUGAAACCUUUGUUCCAUCCCAAGAGCUUACAGAAUCUAGUUAACUUCAGAUGGUGAAAGAACUUAAAUUCUGUUUUUUUACCAGAUUGCAUAUCCAUCUGUCGAGUUUGUAAGCCGAUCAUAGUCGUGCAUUAUGUUGAUAAAUGCAGAUAGCAGACCUAAGCUUAUUGCUGGUUCUCCAGAAGGGUAUGUUGGUCAUGUAGAUGGAAGACCACGCGAAGCGAGAAUGAACCAUCCGAAGGGCUUUACAGUCGACGGAAGGGGUAAUAUAUAUGUCGCGGACACAAUGAACAUGGCCAUCAGGAAAAUUAGUGACACAGGUAAGAGAGAAGGCAUAAAGUCCAAUCAACAGAUGCAUCAUAGCUCAUUGCAGAUUUUGCUACGAAAUUUUUUUGUUCACAAACAAUACAUAUUUUGCACAUUGGAAGCUAGAAAUGUGUUGAUAUUGAUAAAUGAUACUACUUCUGACUUCAUGCCGCAGUGAGCUGUUUGAUAAAUGGAGUCAGAUUAUUAUCCCUUAAUAGAAAACAUAGUUGAUAAGUCCUUUUUUGAAAUUUUGGUGCUCUUGAUAUAGUUCCUUUCAAGGACAAACCUUGGUACAACGGUAAGAUCACUCCUUUAUGAGCUAGGAAAUUAGAAUUCAAGUUACAGAAAUAGCCUUCUCAAAUUAGAAUUCAUUUGAGGUAAAAUUGUAUGCUUAUUUAGUUACUUCAGAAAAGAUGCACUUUAUUGGAACAGGAAUAUAUUUAUAGUUUCCUAUUUUUAUGAAUCAACCAUAAAUAGCUGCAUCAAGAGGUCCCAUUGUCAUGGAUGAGUCCUUGUAGCAGGCUCUAUGGAGGAGUCACCAACUUAAUAUUUUGCUUGAGGUAUAUGUAUUUGUGUAGGGGCGACGACGACGAUUGCUGGGGGAAAGGGGAGUAGAGGAGGGCAUGCAGAUGGGCCAAGUGAAGAUGCAAAGUUUUCGAUAGAUUUUGAAGUCGUUUACAUUGCUAGUAGCUGUUCUCUUCUAGUUGUAGACAGGGGAAACUCUGCAAUCAGGGAGAUCCAUCUUAACUUUGAUGAUUGUGCACACCAAUAUGAAACUGGUCUCCCUCUUGGUAUGAACUUUGACUUUUUUUGGUUCUACUUUCUGUUGAACAUACAACAGUACCGAUUUCUUAAAGUCAAUUACAUGAAGUUCUUGUUAUAUGCCUCAGACAUUUUUGGAAUAUGUUCUAAUGCUUGUUGGAUCUGCCAAUACAGGAAUAGCAGUGCUACUUGCUGCUGGUUUCUUUGGUUACAUGCUGGCUUUACUCCAAAGGAGGGUGGGAGUAAUGGUCUCUACCAAAACUGUGAGUAGUCUUUGCUUGGCCUUAUAGCAAAUUAUUCUCCAUCAUUUCUAAAUGUUCAAUCUGAAUCUAUUCAUAUCAAUGCUGGCUUUGUGGAAAUUGAUAUAAACCCUCUCACCCCACUUAAGAUAUAACUGCAAUAUGUAUAUAUGUGUAUACAUAUGUAUGCACAUAUGUUAAAGCAAAUUAAAGCAAUUAUAUUAAAUUAAUCGAAAUGAGAUGAAUAAAAAGAAACUUCUGAGGUACUAAUGAAAUGUUUAUUGGAUCCAACCAUUUCUAGAACCUUCUGUUUACCAAAAGUGAAAAAAUUUUGUACAGGAAUCUGUAACCCCUAUAAAAGCAAGCAUGCCUCCACAUCAGAUACCAGUUAAACCAUCUAUAAGACCCCCACUUAUCCCUGCCAGAGAUGAAGCAGAGAACACAGAUGAAGGACUCUUCAGCUCAAUUGGCAAGCUUUUAUCAGGAACAUGGUCGUCAACAGCAGCAAUCUUUGGUGCAGUGUUCCCAGUCUUCAGAAAGAAGCCAAAAGCUGUACAAUAUCAGCAGCAGCAGAGAGUGAAUGCUUGGCCUGUGCCAGAGAGCUUUGUCAUCCCCGAUGAUGAGAUACCGCCACCGCUGGAGACGAGAGCUCCCACACCUCACAAGACUUACGCAUUCAUGUCAAAGGAGCCAGAAAAAAUCCACCACAUCAGACAUGCACCACCUUAUUUUUCCGGGUGGGGCACAGAAGCACAGCAGCAGCAGCAGCAACAGGUACAUCAACGGCAGCACCUUCGACAGCACAGGCAGUACUCGUCGGGCCCUCAGACUUACUACGAGCAGAGCUGUGAAACAACCAAUGAGAUCGUGUUUGGAGCAGUUCAGGAGUCGGAUAGCAAGCGGAGGUCAGUGGAGAUCAAAGCUUUGAAUUAUGGGGAUCCAAUCUACGAGCAGUAUGACAUGCGCACCCGAAGUAGUUACAGUGGUUAUGGCAACUACUAGAUGGCCACUGCAAUUGUUUCUUGUCCUUCUCUUCCAUGGAAAAUUUUCUGUCAGUUCAUAUGUGGUCUCUUUCCUCUUUCACAUGUCUAUAAAAUGGGGGAAGAACCAAGAAACUGUGGAAUGACUUGUUGAAACUUGUAAGAAGCUUCCUCCUUAGUUUUGUAAGAGAAAUCCAAAUGGUUCUGUAAAUUUGUAGUUCCAAUGCUCUUUGUGAUCCUGUGUUUUUAUUUCGUUCAGCUGUCUUGGGUGCGGUCUAAUUGGUAAUUGAAUUGUGUUUUCCAUCUGAUGAAGACACUUUGACUAGGUGAGCAAAAAUUUGGUCUGUCCAAGACUUUGAAAUGCUGAGUUCAAACCUCCAUGUUAAAAUGGUAUCAUGUGAUCAGGGUUCCAAGAAUGUUUCACUCUUAAAGAACCAGUUUUAGCUUUUCCUAAAGAUCAAACAGUAUCUUUGAGAAGAUUUUGGCUUUCACCAAUGUAGAUUAGCCUGCAAAAGAAGCACUUUAUAGUAAGUGGUCAUAGGAUUGAAACUUGACCCAUGAGGUUACUAACACAAAUAAGAUCUUCCUUGUACAGGAGAAGAAACACCCCAUUGAUAAUUUUUCUGGACUCAAAUCUAAACAGCAGUAGAAGAGAGAGAUGUGCACAACCUUGUAGAAGAAUGAAGCCUCUGUCUACAUAGCAGCAUCAUCAAAACAUGUGCCCUUGCCCACAGUACCAGUAAAACUUCCAUCUUCUCAUCUUCUGCUGUCAUCAAAUGGAAGAGACACAGUUGUGAACUUUUUCCCCAUAAGAUGAAAGGUCAGAGGAUAACAAAUGGCCCUUCUGUUUAUUGGGCAGCCUCAUCAUCAGUAAAAACCAGAGUGGGAUGGAUUGUUAUCUGUACAGUUCUAAGCACAAGUAGCCCCUCUUUAGGAACUGUAUGUCAAUAGUUUGCCAAAUACCAAAUAAAUCAUUAUGGUCAGGUCCUUGUUACUAUCUGAUUCCUUGGUGCACAGUGGUGAUCAGACAAUGGCCUAUUACUUCUAUGGAGUCUGCAUUCUUCUUCACUGGCAGCAUCUCCAUCUAUAUUGGAUAGCAAGAAUCCAGUCUGCUAAGCAGAUGGAAGCCAGUUCAGCAGUUGGUGGCUGACCUGAGAUUAUACAAUGAAACAGCUCUUGAUCGACAAAAGAUCAUAACAACAUAAGCCACUGGGUUUAGAGAAAUCAUACUAUUUAGCUUUAGAAAGACUGUCAAAGAAUUUUUAACAGAAACAUCGAUAAACAGUAGCUUAACUCAAGAUCUCAUUUCUGGAACUGGCAGCGACUUUGACGAGAGACACAGAGCUUUCAGCUCAUUACAAGGAAAGCAAAUGCUGCAACAUUGUGAGAAUAAGCAUUUCAAGAAUGGAGCAAAGAAAAGAAGACCAGAUAAUAAAUCUGCUACUCUCCUUAAAAUAGCUACUUUGAUCUCAAAAAAAUGCCUCACAAGUCCUAAGUGACAGUUUCAUCUUGAUUACACUACAUUAUUCAUAUACAGCCCAAUACAUUAUAGUUCUGAGGCCAAUCUAACUUCAGCUUCACAUGUGUAUCAGCAAUUCCAAAGAAAAAGUGCACCCUAUGGCAUUUGGGGAAUCAAUGCAGACAAUCUCAUCCAAGCAAUUAAAGCAUGUUAAUGUCAUGACUUAACUGUUGAUCAUUCAGGUUGCAGAGGAGCAAAGUUAUCAUAAUGUCAAAGCUCACCAUAUAAUAUUAUGCUCAUAAGACAUCUUAAGAAGGUUGUUCACACCGGUGAUCUACAGAUUAAAAUUAAGCCGAUAGGUGAACAAGUUUCAUUCUUUCUACAUAUUUCUGCAUGUGUGCAACAAGUGAUUGAAGGUUUAGUGAUUCCAAGAUGGCUUCUCAAACUUGCUAUUCCUAGAUCUCCUUUCCAUGGAAGAGAAUCACUCAGUCAUCUUGGAACUAUCCAUAAUUUUCUAUUUGUCCUCUCUUUUUUCUCUAGUUCAUGGUAAGGAAAGUUGAAGAUUCUUUAAAGAGAGCAAAGUAGCUUUAACAAAAAAGGAUAGGAUCAAACUGAGAAAAGAGAAAAAGAAUUCAAACUCAAGUAGCAAAGACCUCUCAGAAAUGGUAGCAUAAAGCCAAAAUAGCACCAGUUACUUUCAAUCCUACAGCUUCCUGAAGUGGCAAAUGUGAGUGGUUCAAGUACAUGUGUUCAAAGUCUAUCUUCUAUGAGUCUUAUUACCAGAACUAUGUGUGCUGGUCCUCCAAUCUGCUUUAGUCAUUUAUCCGAAUUUUCCGCAAGCUGAAGCAUACAUUAUAGACUAGUCACAUAGAAGAUAUAUAAAGUUGCAUCUAAGCAUGAUAAAUAAGUCCUGUAUUGGUGCAUGGAUCUCUAAUUUCUUGAUCUCUCUAGUCCUUCCUACUCAUGUUCUCCAUUCUUUAAUUCUUUAUAUAACUCAUUCUAUCUCCUCCUAUUGAAAUAUUAUAACUAUAGACAUAAGGGUGUUAAUAAAGCCCUUUUCUAUGUAGUUUGAUCAUUUUGACUGACCAACUGACAUCCACAAGCUCCAUCAUUUGGUUCACAAUUUCAAGUUAACAGAUAUUGUAUUUCAUACAGUAUGUCGGGUCGUGCCAAUGAAAUCACAGAUGAGAAUGACUUACUAUCUUCAAUCGAUACAAUCUAUUGAAGCUUCAAAUAUGGAGUUUGAUAAGCAAACUCCAUAUUCCUUUUUGUUCAUUACGAUUUCUCAUGGAGGUUCAACUAUGAGCUAUCGUCAAAACCAGUGCAAAAAAGAUUCUUGAGACUACAAGGAUGAUUGCAUUUCUUUUCUUUUUCCAAUAUGACUUACUCUCCAGACAAUAAAAAACAGAAGUAACAGAGAAGUUCAAUUUCCAUAUAAUUUCAUAUAUAAGUCAAGCUUCUAGUCAUGCUACAAUAUAUUAAGCUUCAAAGUCUUCCAUUAACCACAGAAGAUUACAGAAAAUGCCUUUGUCCGACAUGUUUUUGUCUGCUACCGAAAGAAUUUUCUCAAAAAGAUGAAGCAGAAAACAAGAGAAAGCAGAGACCAUGCUACAGACCACAAGCAAUUUAUUCAAUAAUAAAUCUACUAAUACUAGAAUAGCUUGUACUAACCAUUUCAUUUCCAGCUCAAAUAGAUGUAUUUGAUCCUUACCACAUUGCAGAGAUCCUUUGAAAAAAAAUGGUCUACUUUAGUGCUUUAACAGAGGAGGAUCGAAUUGAAACUAUAUGACCGACGAUACAACCGCCCCAAUAUUGUCCAAACUCGAACUGUGUCUUGUGACAGGAAGUCACUAACAAGCUUUUAUGGAUUCUCAUUCUAUGGAAGAGAAACAUCACAAAAUAUAAUAGUUUUCAUGUUUGUACACUGUGUUGUUGCAAGUAAUGCAACUAACCUAAUUGUCUAUAUUAAUCCAAUCGCGAGAACAUGGUUUUGAUAUACUUGGCAGAAUCUUAUCUAGACUUUAUAAUCUCUGCUUAUUUUUUGGAAUGAACAAAAUAAAAUGCAACUUCAAAAAAGAAUUCAAAGUUCAUUCUUUGGAACCUAAAAAAAUCAUAAGCUUAGUGGAUAUUUCAAGGAGAAGGAUGCAUACAUUCUCCACAGACGACAGUCUGGAUCAAUGAUCUAACGACAGGUCCUUCCAAGAAUUGAACACCACAAGAACCACAAGUGUUGAACAUUAUCUGAUCCCACUAAUAUCUUUUGUUCAUCAACCAUCAACAGAAAACUCUUCCUUUUGACUUCAGAAGACCAAAUUGUGGUAAAAUGGGAAUAAUCCUUGUAAUGUUAUAGAAAAUUUUCAAGCAUCACCAACUCUUACUGUCUUCCAUGGCGAGUUUGUAUCCAAAGCAGAAGUAUCUGAAGACAUGGAGACCUUCCCCUUCUUAUUAGACCAUAGCCAGACUUUUGACACUGAGAAGCUUUCGUGCCUGCUUUCAAUACUUAGUCUUUCGCCCUCCACAGCCUCAUUUCCUGGAGAAUUACCUCUUGCAUCAGUUCCUCUGAUUCCUCUUCCAUCUCCAUUCCUCAGAGCAGAACAGCCCUUGAGAGCCACUUGCAAUUGGGCAUCAGCAACCACAUACUGAUAAGAGCCCAUGGAGAAGCACCUCCUUGCAGUCAAGCUACUGCUGCUGGUCUCCCCUUCCUCUCUUCUCACACUGCCAAUGGCGAUGCUACUGUCCUCAUUACAGUCACCACCAACGUUUCCAUUACCCAGGUUCCUGAACUUGCCAAGCCUCACAUGGAACACUCUCCUCCUGUCGGCCGCAAUCUCGUCCCCUUCGUCCGCCGCCGCCACCGCCGCCGCUCUCUCCGCAGGGGAAGCUUCUCCCUCGUCAGUCGAGUCCCCGAGAUAGAAGAACACCGGGUCCUCGACCGCCAUGCCCUGUAGGAAGAGCGACCCCCGGCAGAGCGGACAGGUGGAGUUGGAGAGCAGCCACGUGUCGAUGCAGCUGAGGUGGAAGGCAUGACCGCAGACGGGCAGCAGCCGGAGCUCGUCCUCCCCGUCGAACUCGCACAAGCAGACGGCGCACUCGAGCGGCUCCUUGGAGCCGACCACGUCCUUGUACAGGAAGACGGGCAGGGCGUCGAUGAGGGCCUGGUCCACGCCGGAGUCGUGGAGAUGGAACAGCUGCUGGAGCUGGCGCUGGAGCGCGUCGGAGCCCGACAGCUCCGGGGCGGAGCGGGAUGAGGAGGGGCGAGGGUGGCGCUUCCUGAUGAAGCAUCUGAGGAUAAAGUGCAAGAGACCGGAGAUGAAGAGUAGGACCGCGAGGACGACAACGAUGAAGAGGACUGCAGGGCUCAUCCUGCUGCUCGGAGAAGACUCUGAUGGAACGGAGUCACUCUGAAAUUUGUUGAGGAGAUGAGUGGUGAGGGGAGGCACCACCUCCAUGACUGCUCCGAGAGCGAAGACGAGGAGCUCUGGGCGACUGCCACUGCAUGGCAACCAUCUCCUACGUUACUUGACCACCAAACGCUACUCAUUGCAGGAACUAUAAUUCUUGGCUCUCAGGACAGAGAACCCUAGCAGGUGAGGAAGAAUCUAGGACUUAGAUAUAGCAUAUCUUUGACAUCAAUGGAAUUGCCACCUACAACAGAUGGCAACCAAGCUCACUCUGAUCACAACACACACAGCAAGAGGAUACAGAUGGCAACAGGAGAGGGUGCAAACAUGUUCUCGUUCUUUUCAGGACAGCUCCAGUAGUGGUGGAUGUGAAGAGGUCGGCUGUGGGGAUUGACGUGUGUUUUCGACAGCUUCUUUAGGUGCAUUGCACACAGAAAAUAUAACUCAAUUUCCAUCUGAAACAGUAGCUUGUUACUGUAGAUUUCUUGCUUGUGGAGAAAACAUGUUUUUGGUUUCUACAACACCUUAAGAAAACUGUUUAUGUUUACUAUUAUCUAACAAUAACCAAGUUGUUAAGUAGUGGAUAAAAUAAAGGAAUAAUCUUUUACCUGCAAAAUUAUGUAGAAAAAGUCAUUUAAAAUCAUUUGACCUAUUCUUUUUUGGUCUGUAUGAAACCCUAAAUAAUAUGUAAUCAUGUUGUUGCAUUUAUAUUUUGGUUUAGCAACAUCAUAAAAAACAAAAACAAACCAUGACUAAUCCUCAGUCAAUCCAUAUUCCCAUGCACUAUGGCUCUCUCAAAGCCCAUUAUAAGGCCCAUUUCCAUCAUAUGGGCCUGGGAGAACUAUGUUACCAUUGCCCUCUCUCUCUCUCUCUCUUUCUCAUACAAACCUUAAUCCUAAUGGGAGACCAAAAUGCUGGUAUCAUUACUAGGGCAAAUUAGAACCAAGAAUAAGAGAUGCUUCCUAUUAGAUUUUUCAAAGUAACAUACAAGAAAUGUUAGAUGUUAUCCCCACAAAGAACUCUUCAUAAGGCCAUGACAUGACUUAACAUACCAUGAGUUGAGAGAUGGAUUCAGUAAGCAUGUUUUAGUGUUAGAUUUCAACCUAUAUGUACAGACUUUAAUCCUUUCGACUCCGAAAAUAAUAAUAAUUAUUAUUAUUAUUAUAAUAGACGAUAAAUGAAAGAAAUAUGCCUCACCUAAAUCGAGUGUUGUAGAGGGAAAGAGAGAGCUAACAUUGACAACGUCUGCUGACCGAGAGAACCCAAGCUUUAUAGCUCGUAGUCGAGGGUUAAUGGACGGGCAACGUUGAAGGGGACAAAAGCUAUAGCAACCAUGUCAAUAAUGCCAAGUCGUCGUGCAUGCAAAAAAUGAUGUGACGUUUGAUGGGAGAAGUCGACCAUCUCACUAGCAAUCCAAUAAAGUCGUGCCUAUGAACUCUCUAACAUUGCACGUGCCUUGAUAUUAUCACAUAUCUGCCAAUCCAUGGUUGAUAAAGGUGAAGAAUAAGAAGAAGAGUAGGGCUCUCAGGAUGAUGUAAUUUGGAUUGUAGAAAACGAAAGUAAUCAUCAAAGCUUAGCACGUAGCUGAUUGAUGUUGGAGUUUAGCUUGCGUAGCACCGAAGUGGUAGCUGUUUUAGGGCCCAUUAGAGGGAAGGAGACAUGGCCAACUUUGUCGAGAAGAUGGUGUAUGGGAGAGUGAAUGAACUAGAGAGAGGAGAGAGCUGCUGGUUGUCCAUGGCAAAGCACGGUCCAUCGCAGAGAGGGAGAGGGAGAGAGCAGUGAUGGACUUGGCUUUUUCUUGCUUAGCUGUUGUCGAGGGUUAGAACGGGACGGGGCGCACAUGGAAGCACAUGAAUUCUCUCUCUCUCCAUGAGACCCAUCCCGUUUCUGAUACUGAUAAGAGGGAGAAGGGGGCCAUGCUAACUCCGAAACCCCACCUCCCACAUGCACACAGCUCACUGUGCCCACCCACCUCUCUCUCUCUCUCUCUCUCUCUCUCUCUCUCUCUCUCUCUCUCUCAGGCUGCCUUCUUCCCAAAGAAACCUAGGAAACCAAGGGUGUAGAGUACUGUUGAUUCAUGCCCAUUUGGCUCUUUGCGUCCUCAAGUAUCUCAUUCCAAUACAGUUCGCCACUGCAGCAAUCGCCCAGUUUGCACUCAUCUGCUGUCUGGAUGUCCUUCUGAUAGUUUCUCAGGUUUGAGAACUCAGUCUAAGCACUGUUAGGAUCUUUAUGCAUCGUCAACAUUUCUACCAGAGACUAAACGAGGAGAGAGAGAGAGAGAGAGAGAGAGAGAGAGAGAGAGCAAGAAAUUCUUGCCAACUAAACCCAAUGCGAAAGAAUGUUUGGAGUCAAACUGAAAUCAGCUUUGUCAAACGAGAAGUCUAAAUGUAGGAGCAAAAUUCUUCACUGGCAGCAAGAAUUAGUGUUUAAUUUAAUGUUCAUUAAAGAAUCUGAAGCAGGAUUAGAUGAUGAGGAGGAGGAGGAGAGUAAGAUAAGCUGGUUGGAGAACCACAAAACAAUGAUGAACUUGUGAUCCAUGCUCUCAUUUGCCAGUUGCAGCUUAAACAUGAACAUGCAGGAUAUGUAUCUGCAGCUGUAGGCCAAGAUAUAAUUGAUGCUCCCCCUCCCCUUGAAUGAGUGGCUCCCACCUACAUGUCGUAUAGACCCCACAACAUGUGGAGACACGUGUGCACCAUUAUGCUUCCACCUGCUCAAUAUAUUUCUACAUUUAUAUAUACAUAUAAAUGAUUGCCAUCACAAUCUUUCAACUCUUCCGAUAUAGUCUGCAUUGUAGCAAGCAUUAUUUAGCAACAGAACAUGUUGUCAAACUAUGUAGAAUCAAUAUCUAUCGUCAGUCACACUGUGACUUUAGUAUUGUGUUCUUUUACUGCAAACAUAAAUACGUGGAGUUGCAAGGGUUCGGACGGCUUGCUGCAGUCAUAAAGAUCAUGAAUCCCAUCCCCUCUGUUGCAGGCUAAUAAUGGAGGCGUUAGGUAUGACAGCUGCUUACAACCGGAACGUCAAAGAAGACAUGCAUGCAUGCAUGCAGGCAAGCUUUUAAGGGCGGUCCGCUGGACUCCAGCGCCGUGUACCGUCAAUUUUCGUGCAAACCCAUUAACGCGGAGUGGCGGUCCAUUGGAGAUCCUACGGCCGUGAGUACGGGUCCCCACGUGCGAGCGAGCCUUCGAGGACUACGAGGACUCACGUUGUUGUGCAUGCACCGGACUGAACUCUCUCUCUCUCUCUCUCUCGCUCUCUCUUUCCCCCCGUGUAUGGUAACAUCUCACACGCUGUCCUAGACGUGUUGGAGCUGUCACACACGUGCACAUGAUGUGACGUGGUGUCCUUCGUCGCGGGGCCCAUUCCGGCUAGGCGACAAGAGUCUCCCAUGCUUAGAAUUUUCGUCCAUUCGGACUCUCUCUUUCUGCCUCUUCUCUCUCUCCUACACACAUCCCUAUCUCUUCCUCUAUAAACUCCCCCAGAUCGCAGUGCUCGCCACCAGCUACCUGAGAUGGACGGGCGGCGACGGCAAGAGGCGGCCAGAGGGAGCCGCGACGAGCUCCCUAAACUCGGUGGAGCGACGAGCUGCGGCGGGCCUCGCCUCAGCCAUCGAGGGAAAGGGAGGUUCGCCGUAGGCGGUUCGCUGCGGCGGAAGGUGAGGGAGCUGCGUCGGCUUGUGCCCGGCGGGAGGCAGCUGCCCGCCGAGCAGCUUCUCCUGCACACGGCCGACUACAUCCUCCGGCUGAGGUUGCAGGUGCAGCUCUUGAGGGCUCUUUCCAAGUUGUACACGCCAUGAUAUAUCCAUCCAUCUACAUAUAUAUAUAACUAUAACUAUAUAUAUUAGUUGGUGUAUUAUUACAUCGUUGGCGUAUGUUUUUGGUGUGAAUCAAUCAACUCUCGCGAUAUCUGGGUUGACUAAAUUGUGGAUGGCUUCUAAGAGUACUUGUAUUGAUUAAUAGGAAAUAGAAAAUAUAAGAACAUUUGUUCUUCUUUUUCUUCCCUCAAUCAACCAUAAUC